AGAGUUUGAUCCUGGCUCAGAUUGAACGCUGGCGGCAUGCCUUACACAUGCAAGUCGAACGGUAACAGCACUUCGGUGGCUGACGAGUGGCGAACGGGUGAGUAAUACAUCGGAACGUGCCCGAGAGUGGGGGAUAACGCAGCGAAAGCUGUGCUAAUACCGCAUACGAUCUACGGAUGAAAGCAGGGGACCGCAAGGCCUUGCGCUCAUGGAGCGGCCGAUGGCAGAUUAGGUAGUUGGUGGGAUAAAAGCUUACCAAGCCGACGAUCUGUAGCUGGUCUGAGAGGACGACCAGCCACACUGGGACUGAGACACGGCCCAGACUCCUACGGGAGGCAGCAGUGGGGAAUUUUGGACAAUGGGCGAAAGCCUGAUCCAGCCAUGCCGCGUGCAGGAUGAAGGCCUUCGGGUUGUAAACUGCUUUUGUACGGAACGAAAAGGUCUUUU
rnacentral:rRNA from 1 species